UCUUGCUACUUGCGGUACUAUAUUGCGUGACAGACAGACGUAUACGGGUAUUACAAUAUAGACUUGUCGUCCACAGGUUCGCCCGUCCUUUAAAUUUACUCGUUGCAACAAAAUAGACAAACAUAUAUCGCAUUUUGCAUUCGUGCGUAUUAUAAAAAUUUCAUGUUUCCAUAACAGAACGCGUCUUUUGCGGACACACAAAAAGAAGACGGCUAUUACUAAAGAGACUAGUCGUUAAUCCGUGGAAAAAUCCACGGGGUCGCUCGUCCUUUAUAUUCAGCCGUGGCAACAAAGUGGAUAAAAAUAUACCGCAUUUGAUAUUCGUGUUACCGCAACAUUAGUUUCUAACUCAGCGGGGGGUCUGCAUAGGCGGAGGCGCAUAGACAGACAGACGAAGUAAGGCUAUUAUUACAUAGAUUUGCUAAUUAAAAUAGAAUUGCAACUGUGCAAUGAAAUCACAUUUUAUUAUAUAAAGUAAAGCUGAUUUAAUAAAGUUUCGUGAUAGCUUUUUCCAAUUUUCCUUUAUGUAGAACUUUUAACAUGUGACUAAAGCCUGACGCAUAUUUUUUGCCUGAUUGGAUUCGCAAGAUUUAUCCUGCACUGGAAAAAAUCACCACCUGACUUUAGAUGAUCUCUAUAUCUCUUUUUUUUAGAUGAAAUGGACAUGGAUUCGAACACAAAUGGGGUGUGUUUUUGUGCAGCAACGGUUCAUGAACGUAAGUGUGUAUCAUUUGUAAUCUUUUCAUGUACUGUACAUGAUUGAUUAAAAAAUAAUUAAUUAAAAAUUCUUAUAAAAUAAAAAAAUACAACUUUAAAACGUUUACUUAUUAUUCAUUUGUCUUUUUACGGAGAAGAUUUGUUUUCCCUGUAAAAAAAACUUCAAUUUUUGCCUACUGGUGUAUUUAGAAGUCCAAGAUGUCUAAUUCGAAGCGAUAUGGAAAAAACUUCUAGCAUUUCUGUAUAUAAAUUCAAAUUUUGGUUUGGAAGAAUUUGCCGCAGAUCCUGAAAGAGAGAAUAUCUGGGAAAUUUAUUAUAUGAAUUAAUAAAGCGAAUUUGGAUUUAAAAAUUUGAUAAAAACUACCAAACAUUUGUCUUCUGUGAUAAUUAGAUUCUACUAGAACAAGUGUUACAACAGCAAGAGUGUACUUUUUCCUUUAAAAGAAUGAAACUUAUCAUUGAAGCUAUUGCGAUAUUAAAAUGUUGUAAAGGUGUGCUGCUACAAUAGAUAGUUAAAUAUUACACAAUCCACAUGUUAUGAGAUAUUAAGUAUUUUUAUGUAGAAAUGGUUGCGUUGAAAUCAGUGGAAACAAAGAAAAUUGUUCUCAGCCUGUUUCCUGAAUUUGGAAGUACUCCGGUAACAGAUGUUUUACUAAAGGAAGCUCUGCAUAGCUCUGUAAAUGACGAAGUCAUAUACACCUAUUUGUGUAUUCUUUCCCGGUAAAGUAAACAUAAGGUAACGAUUUGAAUUCUAUUUUCUAAACUUUUCAAGUGUCUUAAAACAAAUUGAUAAAAAUAUUUUCUUCACAGAGUGUAAAGAUUAUUACUCCAGGCGAGAUGUCUCUGAUUUUUGAUGAACCAGCGUCAAAAAUGAAACAGCGUGAUAUAACAAAAUACGAUCAAAUUAUUGGUUGUCGUUGUUCAGGAUACCACUGGACGCUUUCGGUUGUUAUUCCAUCUGCUUCAACCAUAAUUUACUUCAACCCACUCGGUGAAUUACCUGAAGAAAUUGUAAAUGUUGAACAGCAAUGGAA